CAGUAGCCACGGGAAUACGUAGGUGGCAAGCGUUGUCCGGAAUUAUUGGGCGUAAAGGGCUCGCAGGCGGUUUCUUAAGUCUGGUGUGAAAGCCCCCGGCUCAACCGGGGAGGGUCAUUGGAAACUGGGAAACUUGAGUGCAGAAGAGGAGAGUGGAAUUCCACGUGUAGCGGUGAAAUGCGUAGAGAUGUGGAGGAACACCAGUGGCAAAGGCGACUCUCUGGUCUGUAACUGACGCUGAGGAGCGAAAGCGUGGGGAGCGAACAGGAUUAGAUACCCCGGUAGUCCCUGUCUCUUAUAC
rnacentral:rRNA from 1 species